GGGCUUAUAGUUUAGUGGUAGAAUAGCUGCCUUCCAAGCAGCUGGUGAGGGUUCGAUUCCCUCUGAGCUCA